GACCGGCUGCUGGUUUAGAAUAACCUGAAGCUCGGAGGUUCGGCCCAUUCGCAAGUUCGAUCCCGAGUUGUUCGUGUUCAUCUUCCUUUCGCCUCUCUCGGGGAAACCGUUUCGAAAGCUUCGAGAAACCGACGUGAAACUUUCAUUCCAUGAUGGAAGUCGCUAAAGCAAACGAGUCCGCCGACAGCCUAGUCGAGCAGUCGCUGAACGUAACGGCCGAGUCAACGUCCGUAGCCACGAUGAAGUCUGUGCAGAGCGUGCAGACGAAGUCCGUGAUCGAGUCCUCGACGUCCAUAAAGUCCGUGAAAUCGUCUUCGACCAGGUCGCAUCAAUCGAUGGAGUACGAGGAGACGGUCGAGUACAGCGAUUAAGCAACAAAGCAUCACCAUUCAGCAAAGAAACCCCAUUCGACGUCGUUCCACGCAGGAGAGAACCGGGCGCGGUAUUUUCGAUUCGGCUCCAACGUGGAUCUCCGCUUCACCGUUUCCCCACCCAAAAAUUCGUUCGCGUCCACAGGAUUCGAGACGGAGCACGGCUGGAACGGUUCAGAGAAUUUCUAUCGCGUUCCCGUGAACCACGCGAGGCCGAUGUUUUGAUCCGGUCCCAUGAAACCACGGACUGUCCUUCUCUUAUUCGCUGUAUUCCCAUUCGAAGCGAGCCAGGAGAGGAACGUGCGUACCCUACGAAUGAAGUACACUGACGCUGCAGUUAAGGGAUGCAGCUGGGACCAGAUGAAAGAGAGCACACACGAGGGUCGAGUCGGGUCGGGUCGAACGACCGAUCGACGACGGGUCAAGGCGUCCAUUAAUCGGGCUACGGUACGGAAAUAGCGGGUCGCCGCGAUGCGUGAUAAUGAAAAGAAGAAGAAGGAAACCGAAGAAAUGUUUUGGAAGCCUCGGCCGGCGAGCUGGCUCUCCUCCAAUCGGCGUGGUUCACCGCCAAAUACCAACUCGAGUUUUCUUCCCAGGACACCACUUCACUCCUCUGCCUCUCUCAGUCGUCUGUUCGAUCCUCUUUUGAAUAACCCACUCCGUCAUUGUCACGUCAUGAUCCCAGACUUCAACUGCGACCGUUCCAUAAUCUUUGUAUAAUAAAGUUUCUAAGAUAUUGGUUCUCUUA